rnacentral:rRNA from 1 species
UACAGAGGGGGCAAGCGUUGUUCGGAAUUACUGGGCGUAAAGGGCGCGUAGGCGGCCUGUUAAGUCGGACGUGAAAUCCCUCGGCUCAACCGGGGAACUGCGUCCGAUACUGGCGGGCUUGAAUUCGGGAGAGGGAUGUGGAAUUCCAGGUGUAGCGGUGAAAUGCGUAGAUAUCUGGAGGAACACCAAUGGCGAAGGCAGCUCUCUGGGACGGUACUGACGCUGAGACGCGAAAGCGUGGGGAGCGAACAGG